rnacentral:rRNA from 1 species
GACGAACGCUGGCGGCGUGCUUAACACAUGCCAGUCGAACGUGAUUUUUGUGCAAAUUCUUUCGGGACUGGACAUGAACUGAUAGUGGCGAACGGGUUAGUAACCCCUGAGCAUCCUACCUUACACAGGGGGCUAGCCGUUGGAACCGACGAUUAAUCCCGCAUCAGACCACAGAAUCGCAUGAUUUAGGGGUCAAAGAUUUAUCGGUGUCAGAAGGGCUCGCGUCUGAUUCGCUAGUUGGAAGGGGAAAGGCCUACCAAGGCGACGAUCAGUAGCCGGGAGGGGAGGAGGAAAGGCCAGAGUUGAACUGAGACACGGACCAAAAUGCUACGGAAGGGAGCAGAAGGGAAUAUGGCACAAGGGGGGGAAACCUGAUGAAGCGACGUGGGGGGAGAGAAGAAGGGGGUCGAAUCGUAAAGCUCUGUGCGAUGAGAAGAGAAUGACGGUAACAGAGGAGGAAGCCCCGGCUAAAUACGUG